rnacentral:rRNA from 1 species
UACAGAGGGUGCGAGCGUUAAUCGGAAUUACUGGGCGUAAAGCGCGCGUAGGCGGCUUUGCAAGUCGGGUGUGAAAUCCCCAGGCUUAACCUGGGAACUGCAUUCGAGACUGCAUUGCUAGAGUAUGGGAGAGGGAAGUGGAAUUUCCGGUGUAGCGGUGAAAUGCGUAGAUAUCGGAAGGAACAUCAGUGGCGAAAGCCGACUUCCUGGACCAAUACUGACGCUCAUGUGCGAAAGCGUGGGGAGCAAACAGG